CGAUGUCCGAAUGGGGAAACCCAGUGUGUUCCGACACACUAUCGUUAACUGAAUACAUAGGUUAACGAGGCGAACCGGGGGAACUGAAACAUCUAAGUACCCCGAGGAAAAGAAAUCAACCGAGAUUCCCCCAGUAGCGGCGAGCGAACGGGGAGCAGCCCGGAGUCUGAAUCAGCUUGUGUGUUAGUGGAACGGUCUGGAAAGUCCGACGGUACAGGGUGAUAGUCCCGUACACGAAAAUGCACAGGUUGUGAACUCGAAGAGUAGGGCGGGACACGUGGUAUCCUGUCUGAAUAUGGGGGGACCAUCCUCCAAGGCUAAAUACUCCUGACUGACCGAUAGUGAACCAGUACCGUGAGGGAAAGGCGAAAAGAACCCCGGCGAGGGGAGUGAAAAAGAACCUGAAACCGUGUACGUACAAGCAGUGGGAGCACCUUCGGGUGUGACUGCGUACCUUUUGUAUAAUGGGUCAGCGACUUAUAUUCUGUAGCAAGGUUAACCGUAUAGGGGAGCCGAAGGGAAACCGAGUCUUAACUGGGCGUUAAGUUGCAGGGUAUAGACCCGAAACCCGGUGAUCUAGCCAUGGGCAGGUUGAAGGUUGGGUAACACUAACUGGAGGACCGAACCGACUAAUGUUGAAAAAUUAGCGGAUGACCUGUGGCUGGGGGUGAAAGGCCAAUCAAACCGGGAGAUAGCUGGUUCUCCCCGAAAGCUAUUUAGGUAGCGCCUCGUGAACUCAUCUUCGGGGGUAGAGCACUGUUUCGGCUAGGGGGCCAUCCCGGCUUACCAACCCGAUGCAAACUACGAAUACCGAAGAAUGUUAUCACGGGAGACACACGGCGGGUGCUAACGUCCGUCGUGAAGAGGGAAACAACCCAGACCGCCAGCUAAGGUCCCAAAGUCAUGGUUAAGUGGGAAACGAUGUGGGAAGGCACAGACAGCCAGGAUGUUGGCUUAGAAGCAGCCAUCAUUUAAAGAAAGCGUAAUAGCUCACUGGUCGAGUCGGCCUGCGCGGAAGAUGUAACGGGGCUAAACCAUGCACCGAAGCUGCGGCAGCGACGCUUAUGCGUUGUUGGGUAGGGGAGCGUUCUGUAAGCCGUUGAAGGUGUGCUGUGAGGCAUGCUGGAGGUAUCAGAAGUGCGAAUGCUGACAUAAGUAACGAUAAAGCGGGUGAAAAGCCCGCUCGCCGGAAGACCAAGGGUUCCUGUCCAACGUUAAUCGGGGCAGGGUGAGUCGACCCCUAAGGCGAGGCCGAAAGGCGUAGUCGAUGGGAAACAGGUUAAUAUUCCUGUACUUGGUGUUACUGCGAAGGGGGGACGGAGAAGGCUAUGUCAGCCGGGCGACGGUUGUCCCGGUUUAAGCAUGUAGGCGGAGGUUCCAGGUAAAUCCGGUACCUUGUUAACGCUGAGGUGUGAUGACGAGGCACUACGGUGCUGAAGUGAUAAAUGCCCUGCUUCCAGGAAAAGCCUCUAAGCAUCAGGUAACACGAAAUCGUACCCCAAACCGACACAGGUGGUCAGGUAGAGAAUACCAAGGCGCUUGAGAGAACUCGGGUGAAGGAACUAGGCAAAAUGGUGCCGUAACUUCGGGAGAAGGCACGCUGAUAUGUAGGUGAAGUCCCUGCGGACGGAGCUGAAAUCAGUCGAAGAUACCAGCUGGCUGCAACUGUUUAUUAAAAACACAGCACUGUGCAAACACGAAAGUGGACGUAUACGGUGUGACGCCUGCCCGGUGCCGGAAGGUUAAUUGAUGGGGUUAGCGGCAACGCGAAGCUCUUGAUCGAAGCCCCGGUAAACGGCGGCCGUAACUAUAACGGUCCUAAGGUAGCGAAAUUCCUUGUCGGGUAAGUUCCGACCUGCACGAAUGGCGUAAUGAUGGCCAGGCUGUCUCCACCCGAGACUCAGUGAAAUUGAACUCGCUGUGAAGAUGCAGUGUACCCGCGGCAAGACGGAAAGACCCCGUGAACCUUUACUAUAGCUUGACACUGAACACUGGUCCUUGAUGUGUAGGAUAGGUGGGAGGCUUUGAAGCGUGGACGCCAGUCUGCGUGGAGCCGUCCUUGAAAUACCACCCUUUAAUGGCUGGUGUUCUAACGUAGACCCGUGAUCCGGGUUGCGGACAGUGUCUGGUGGGUAGUUUGACUGGGGCGGUCUCCUCCCAAAGAGUAACGGAGGAGCACGAAGGUUGGCUAAUCCUGGUCGGACAUCAGGAGGUUAGUGCAAUGGCAUAAGCCAGCUUGACUGCGAGCGUGACGGCGCGAGCAGGUGCGAAAGCAGGUCAUAGUGAUCCGGUGGUUCUGAAUGGAAGGGCCAUCGCUCAACGGAUAAAAGGUACUCCGGGGAUAACAGGCUGAUACCGCCCAAGAGUUCAUAUCGACGGCGGUGUUUGGCACCUCGAUGUCGGCUCAUCACAUCCUGGGGCUGAAGUAGGUCCCAAGGGUAUGGCUGUUCGCCAUUUAAAGUGGUACGCGAGCUGGGUUUAGAACGUCGUGAGACAGUUCGGUCCCUAUCUGCCGUGGGCGCUGGAGAAUUGAGGGGGGCUGCUCCUAGUACGAGAGGACCGGAGUGGACGCAUCACUGGUGUUCGGGUUGUCAUGCCAAUGGCACUGCCCGGUAGCUAAAUGCGGAAGAGAUAAGUGCUGAAAGCAUCUAAGCACGAAACUUGCCCCGAGAUGAGUUCUCCCUGAGACUUUAAGUCUCCUGAAGGAACGUUGAAGACGACGACGUUGAUAGGUCGGGUGUGUAAGCGCAGCGAUGCGUUGAGCUAACCGAUACUAAUGAACCGUGAGGCUUAACCUU
rnacentral:rRNA from 1 species